GAAGUAUUUAUUCUCUCUGACAGUUGGACACAUUCCUCUUGCUGUGAGACCAGAAUCCCAGUUUAUUUGCAAUAUUAACUGCACUGCACUUCAGAGGAGCCUGCAAGAGGCUUCAAGUUGCUGCAAUCAUUCAUUGAGGCAACAGUACAAAGCUACCAAUUUGAAAACAAGACUUUGCUCACUAGCAGAAGAAAAUGAAAAAUUCAAGGAAAGCACCUUAUCUGUGACACACCCUGGGAUGAACUGCACUUGUCAGGGGAAGAUACAGCAGGAAGAAAACUCCAGAGAAAUUGCAAGAUCCAUUUGUAACAAACAUAAUAAAUAUCAAUAAAUUGCAUGGUCAGGAAUAGCACCUACAUAAACAGGAUGUGGCAACUGGAAUGAGCAUAUUAAACUAUACUCAUCAAAUGAUCAGAUUUGCAAUGGGACAAGACUAUAUUUUUUAAAAAGCUUUAUGGCUGUCAGA